rnacentral:tRNA from 1 species
GGAGAGAUGGCUCAGUGGUUAAGAGCACCAACUGUUCUUCCAGAGGUCCUGAGUUCAAUUCUCAGAAACCACA